rnacentral:rRNA from 1 species
AACACGCUGGCGGCGUGCUAACACAUGCAAGUCGAACGAGAAAGUGGAGCAAUCCAUGAGUAAAGUGGCGACCGGGUGAGUAACACGUGACUAACCUACCCUAGAGUGGGGGAUAACCUCGGGAAACCGGGGCUAAUACCGCAUAACAUCACGAGGGGAAGAUCCUUGUGAUCAAAGGAGCAAUUCGCUCAAGGAGGGGGUCGCGGCUGAUUAGCUAGUUGGUGGGGUAACGGCCCACCAAGGCGAAGAUCAGUAGCCGGCCUGAGAGGGCGCACGGCCACACUGGAACUGAAACACGGUCCAGACUCCUACGGGAGGCAGCAGUGGGGAAUUUUGCGCAAUGGGGGAAACCCUGACGCAGCAACGCCGCGUGGAGGAUGAAGUCCCUUGGGAUGUAAACUCCUUUCGAUCGGGACGAUAAUGACGGUACCGGAAGAAGAAGCACCGGCUAACUCUGUGCCAGCAGCCGCGGUAAUACAG